rnacentral:lncRNA from 1 species
UUGAAUACUAUAAAUAUGACAUGAAACAAGAUAGAUGAUGAACAUAUGAGAGACUAUCCUAUCGAGGUCCAACCAUCGAACUCUUCCAUCCGAAUGCGUUUGAACUUCUUGCUUCCGAGUGACAUCACAUCGAACGCGACAAGACUCGGAAGAAGAAACGAGGUCGGAGCGACGAUCAAAAUUUGCACCGACGAUAUAUCAAUCGGAUACUUGGAAUUCUGGGUUGGAUCAGCAAAUACCAGCAGGCCUUAUAAUUGAAUUACUUAUUACCAUUCAACGAUCGGUUUGUUUGUAUCUUGGUCUGGAAAACUGUCGACCUUCGGAAGGACGUAACUUUAGAUUCAAAUCUCUCUGCUUCUUUCUCUUGGAGAAGAAACAAUCACUGGUUUUUGCUGGGUGUCGGAGCUUCACGUCGCCAUGGCGAACUCAAAUCUCCUUCGCCGAACAGAGUUGGUGGAGAGGUAGGUCCACGCCACGGGCGCCGCUGCCGCUGAGCCAUUUGCUUCGCCAUUAACGUGCUCUGCUGUCCUUUUUAUCUCUUCUCUCGCUGCACUGGCGCUCUUAAUGGCGUCCCUGCACCCGACUGCUGCUACUUGGAUGGCAUCACCACUACUAUCCGAAGGCCAAGGCUCAGAGAGCAGGCCACGAUGAUGAUGCCCACCACCCAUUUCAAUGGCAAUGUUGUCAUCGUUCUACUCUUGGGGUAUGUAUGAGUCAAUUAAUAUCAUCAUAACUAUCCUAUGGUCCACCGUGGUGUGCAUCAACAAAGUGCAUGAAAGAAGCACUGCUUUAUUUAUGGAUCUCGCUGAGGAACACAUGCAUGAUUUUAUAUUUGAGGAAACUAAGCCAUCGACCGACCGACCGACC